AUGAUUACUGUUUCGCUUUAUUCUUUAACAAUAGAGUAUUAUAAAUAUCUGACUGAUCUUGACAUAUACCCCAGCAAAGGGAUUCAAUGUUUUAGGCAUUUACUUUUCCGUAAUCACUUGGUGGGGCAUGAUAUUGUCGAGGGUGAUGACUAUUGAGUUAGAUUCAUGCCAAAACCCCGCACAAACGCAAAACGUGUUUUGCUCACGCAUAACGAUUCGUGAAUGAAUCUAACUCCAUCGAUGACACCUGGCCAAAGGUACUCCGAACGUCCACAACCGGAGCCUAUACCUGGUAAGGCAACGUUGAGCAGCAUGCCUACCCCUACCUGCUCAAUGCCAAUAGCUUUGGAUAAGGUCUGCCAAAAACAACUCCACUUAUUGGAUAUGAUAUAUAAUGCAGCAGUAUAUUAAGCCUGUAACGUAACGUUAACAUCGUAAGAGACGAGAAAUUAUAUUUUGAGCGGUUUUCCUUUCUUCCGGUGGUCUACCGUCGUUCUUGUCUCGAACUUGCUAACAGCCAAUCACAUCAAGUACGUUCUCAUUAGCGCUCAAGUAAGUUCACCUGGGUCACGCACUUCUGUAUUUAGACCGACAUGUGCUGUUCUUUUUGUUGCGUCGGACUGCGAAUCACGAAAAACCGCAGUGAGUAACUGAGUAUCACACGUUAUGCGUUUUUGCGCUGGUUGACGUGAUGUAUCUCCGUAUCUACACACGCACGCACGCUGUCGGUAUCCCUGUUAUUUUCCCCUUAAACCUUUUACUUUAAUUUUACCGCUGUUAUAGUGAACUGGCUUGGCUUACUGCUGUUUUGAUUUAAGUGUUGUGUAGGGCUAUAUGUGGUUGUGUAUUACGGGGCUCCCCCUCAUCUUUGAGGAAGUAUAAAGUCUGAUUUGUUAGACUAGGGCCCCGUCCACACGAAGCCGAAACGGGCGAAACCGUUACGGUUUCGAUCUAUCCGGUUUCGAAGUAUCUCCGUAAAGACGAAGCCAAGCGAAACCGGGUAGACCUGUAGAAACGCUGUAGUACACAAGCCAGGCCCAUAAGGGGCGCUGCUUCUGCUACAGAAAUCCAGAAGGAAAAUAAAUAAGAAAAGAGGCGAGCAUGCGCAUAAAGGGUGAGACUCCGCGGGCUUAACAGUCAUUGGCUAGAGGAUCGGGGGGGGGCAUGACGUCAUGGUUUGCGGUUUCAGUCGGUUUCAGGCGUCCACACGAAUCCAAAACGAAACCGGAUAGAUUUGAAACCACCUCCGAGGGUGGUUUCAGAAGUUUGCGGUUUCGGUCAGCGGAUUCGCCGGCUUCGUGUGGACGGAAGGCCGAACCGUACAAGACCUUUGCGGUUUCGCCAUGAAAUCGGCUUCGUGUGGACGGGGCCUAGGGGCCGUGGACUGCGGUACCACUUUCCUGAAGAGGAACUCGCUGGCUCUAAAUCCCUGAUCAAAACGUUUCUUCACACGCAAGCACUCGUCACUUGAAUUUGUUGACAUGAACGAUAACGAGAAUCUGUCAGCCUGUGAGUCCAGGGUGACUAUGGAGAUGUACAUCCGUCUUCAUCAGAAGGUCACACGGGUGUAUUAGUGUGUCGCGUUCUGCAUCUGUUUGAGGUGGUUUGGUCCCAUACCAUGGAAGCUAUUGAGCAAAAAGCAAUUUUCCAUAGGAAAUGAAGCAAUUAAUGAACUCUGAAGAGCAAGCAGUCAGGAGUGAGUGGGGUCCCUUGGUUGUCCGCCAAGACUGAAAACACGUCAGAAACCGCUGAUGAACCCCAAAUGAAUAUCCAACAACAAACUUCACCACAGCUGGAAAGUUAGCAUCCCACAUGAUGCCCCAUAUCGGAAAGAUGAAUUACCAUAAUGGGACCUGCUUUCACGGAGGACCAUGCCUUAUUUCAAUUUGAUACUUAUUUGGAUUUGGCACUUAACACCCAGAUUUACAGGUCACCCUUCAUUACAUAUUGUGCGGA
ensembl:lncRNA